rnacentral:rRNA from 1 species
GACGAACGCUGGCGGCGUGCUUAACACAUGCAAGUCGAGCGGAAAGGCCCUUUGGGGUACUCGAGCGGCGAACGGGUGAGUAACACGUGAGUAAUCUGCCCUGCACUUUGGGAUAACUGCCGGAAACGGCGGCUAAUACCGGAUAUGACUCCUUGCCGCAUGGUGGGGGGUGGAAAGUUUUUUCGGUUCGGGAUGUGCUCGCGGCCUAUCAGCUUGAUGGUGGGGUAAUGACCUACCAUGGCUUCGACGGGUAGCCGGCCUGAGAGGGUGACCGGCCACGCUGUGACUGAUGCACGGCCCAGACUCCUACGGGAGGCAGCAGUGGGGAAUAUUGGACAAUGGGCGGAAGCCUGAUCCAGCAACGCCGCGUGAGGGAUGACGGCCUUCGGGUUGUAAACCUCUUUCAGCAGGGAUGAAGCGAAAGUGACAGUACCUGCAGAAGAAGCACCGGCUAACUACGUGCCAGCAGCCGCAGUAACAC